rnacentral:tRNA from 1 species
GGGGAUGUGGCUCAGUGGCAAAGCUCUUGAUUUGCAUGCAUAAGGCCCUGGGUUCAAUCCUCAGCAGCACCA